rnacentral:lncRNA from 1 species
UUAUUUUGCAGGUGUUAUACUGGUAGUCUUUUCUUUUCUUUAAACUUAUAUUGUGUUCAAAUAAUUUCAUAAUAUUGUUACUAUUUAAUUUUAUACUUUCAGCCAGAGAAAUGACAAGAGGGAAGUUCCUGAAUAUAUUACAGAAGAAUAAAAAAUCCUGAUUAAAUUAUUGACUUUAUGUGUAUUGACUAAAAUUUCUACUGAUCAUUGUAACCAUUUAUUUUGCAAU